rnacentral:rRNA from 1 species
AUUGAACGCUGGCGGCAGGCCUAACACAUGCAAGUCGAGCGAGCGGCGGACGGGUGAGUAAUGUCUGGGAAACUGCCGGAUGGAGGGGGAUAACUACUGGAAACGGUAGCUAAUACCGCAUACCAUCAGAUGUGCCCAGAUGGGAUUAGCUAGGCGGUGGGGUAACGGCUAACCUAGGCGACGAUCCCUAGCUGGUCUGAGAGGAUGACCAGCCACACUGGACCUUAGACACGGUCCAGACUCCUACGGGAGGCCGCAGUGGGGAAUAUUGCACAAUGGUCGCAAGCCUGAUGCAGCCAUGCCGCUGGUGUGAAGAAGGCCUUCGGGUUGUAAAGCACUUUCAGCGGGGCGGCGUUACCCGCAGAAGAAGCACCGGCUAACUCCGUGCCAGCAGCCGCGGUAAUUC